AACUUACCCAACCUAACCUAACUUACCCAACCUAACCUAACUUACCCAACGUAACCUAACUUACCCAGCCAACCUAACUUACCCAGCCAACCUAACUAACCCAACCAACCAUAUCAACCUAACUAACCCAACCAACCAUAUCAACCUAACUAACCCAACCAACCAUAUCAACCUAACUUACCCAACCUAACCUAACUUACCCAACCUAACCUAACUUACCCAACCUAACUAACCCAAUCAACCUAACUUACCCAACCAACCUAACUUACCCAACCAACCUAACUUACCCAACCUAACCUAACUUACCCAACCAACCUAACCAACCUAAUCAACCUAACUAACCCAACCAACCUAACCAACCCAAAAAACCCAACCAACUCAAAUAACCCAUGCAGCAAAAACCUAUUGUUGUAAUUGUGUCAUUCAAAAUCUGCUGUCUGUCUGCUGAGGAAGGGCAGGGUGUAGCAUCUUCCUGUUUACACCCAAACUGACUGUCUGUCAGAAGGCUGGAUGGACAUCUAGAUCAAUCAAACCUAUAUCCAAGACGAGUGAGUUCAACUGAAAGAAACCUCUCAGGGAGACACUCUGAUACAGAGACAGACCCCUGGCUCAAAGAAGACAGACCCCUGGCUCAAAGAAGACAGACCCCUGGCUCAAAGAAUACAGACAGACCCCUGGCUCAAAGAAGACAGACCCCUGGCUCAAAGAAUACAGACAGACCCCUGGCUCAAAGAAUACAGACAGACCCCUGGCUCAUAGAAUACAGCCCGACGGACCCCUCGCUCAAAGAAUACAGACAGACGGAUCCCUGGCUCAAUGACAGACGCAGACCCCUGGCUCAAAGAAUACAGACCGACGGACCCCUGGCUCAAAGAAUACAGACCGACGGACCCCUGGCUCAAAGAAUACAGACCGACGGACCCCUGGCUCAAAGAAUACAGACAGACGGACCCCUGGCUCAAGAAUACAGACAGACGGACCCCUGGCUCAACGACAGACGCAGACCCCUGGCUCAAAGAAUACAGACAGACGGACCCCUGGCUCAACGACAGACACAGACACAUUGUUCAAACAGAGUGAGGCCUUCUAUGGGCCACCUACUCUCUGGGGAAAGUUGAAGUAGAAAAGCAUAAAUGGAUACCUUACAUUUGUCCAGCCGGGUUCAAUUUAGGAUGAUUUUGGUUCUAAAUAUUCAUGUUGAUAUUUUUGUUUUAAUCAAAAAUGGGACUGAUAUGGGUACACUUUGUGGAUUAUUCCAUAGGAUAUGUCACGCUGCUUGUCUGACCAAAAAGAUGUGGAAAGGGAAACUUUGAGAAUGUGUGAGUUGAAGCGAUGGGGAAAUGCAUUGUGGGAGUUGUCAGCUGGAUUCUGAUAUUCCUCUCAGAUUUUAUUUGUUCAGAUGAUAUAAGACGUGUGACCUUUUUGUCCUCAACAUUAAUAAUAAUUUAAUAAUAAACUCUUAAUAAUUUAUUUAUUUAAAAUAUAAUAAUAAACUCUUAAUAAUGUAUUAGAGUUUAAAUACCGUAAUCAUGGUAACAAGUUGUUUUUCUCUUUUUCCACACAUACUGUCAAUACCAAUGUAUAUGUACAGUCAACUGGUGCAUGCUGGAAUUAAUUGUAUGUACCGCGUAUCAGAUCAAUAUGGAACUUGGAGUUUGUUUGGAUGAGGUGCCACUGAGACAAUGUUAUUGGAUGAGUUUGUCCCCUCUGAGCUCGACCAAUGGCUACUAUAACACUCACCUUGGUCCAUGAUCUUGGUGUAAGGAACUUCUUCUGAACCGGAUGAAAUAUCAUUUAUUACCAGUUAUGUACUGGAGCAAGUCUUCAAUGUUUAUCUACAUACACUGAGUGUACCAAACAUUAGGAACACCUUUCCUAAUAUUUUGUUUCAUCCUCUUUUGCCCUUAGAACAGCCUCAAUUUUGUCGGAGGCAUGGAGUCAACAAUGUGUCUAAAGCGUUCCACAGGGAUGCCCAUGUUGAUGCCAGUGACUCCAUCCGGUGUGCCUGGCACCUACUACCGUACCCCGUUCAAAGGCACUGAAAUAUUUUGUCUUGCCCCAUUCACCCUCUGAAUGGCACAGAUACACAAUCUAUCUCUCAAGACUUAACAAUCCUUCUUUAACCGGUUUCCUCCCUUUUCAUCUACAGUGGAUUUAACAAGUGACACGAAUAAGGAAUCAUAGCUUUCACCUGGUCAGCAUGUCAUGGAACGAGCAGGUGUUCCUAAUGUUUUGUACACUCUGUGUAUUUUUAUUAUAUUUAAGGAGAUAUAUAAUUUAUUUGGUAAAAGAGGUAUAAUUUAUUUGGUAAAAGAGGUAUAAUUUAUUUGGUAAAAGAGGUAUAAUUUAUUUGGUAAAAGAGGUAUAAUUUAUUUGGUAAAAGAGGUAUUCAUGAUGUAUCUUUUUAGUAGAUUUAUGAGGAAAAGUUUUCAUGAUACAAGUAACGUAUAUUAUGCCUGCCUUUUCUCUGAGCAGUUUAGUUUAAUGUGCACAGACACACAUUAAAGAUGUAUUUCUUGUAAUUACUUAAGAUUAUUACUUAUGGAAAGUUGUGUCAUACUACAUUAGCAUUUUACUGACUGAAUUACUUUUUAAAAAACAAAGUAGAUUUGACAAAUGUUUUUGUGUGAGGACACUUAAGAAAUAUUAGCAUUGUCCUCAUCCAAAAUGAAAAGUUUACUUUUCAAAAAAACUUUUGAUUUAUUGAUUUAAUGUGUACUUUUUUUUAUUGUACUUUUAUUUUCUAUGGUGAAAACAAAGAAGCAUAUUUUUAAUCGUCUGUGAAAUUAAAGAGGAUACCCCAGUCA
ensembl:lncRNA